GACGAUUUUGCUAUUUUUUAAUUUAUUAAAAGUGAUGUUAAAGUUUCAAAAGUUUCAAUCAUAAUUCUAAAUUUUGAAAGAAUAUUAUUAUGCUUAUUUCUAUGUAACAUCUUGUAAAAACCUUUGGUAAAUAUAUUCUGGGUGUGACGUAAUUUCUUUUUUUUUUUUUUCUUUUUGAGGAAAAGUAGGGAUUAAAUUUUAUUUCCAUUUAGUAGGCAACAUUUGAUUGAAAUGGUUUUAAAAAUGGUGUUAGGAAUCACUCUACACAAACAAAAAGCUAAUUUUGGGAAUGCUUUUAUUUUAAUGCCAUUAUGUGGUCAUUUUUAAAGCAAAGUUUAAUAUUUUAAUAUUUGGUCUUCUUUCCUUUCCUCUCCACAUCCAUCACUUUUCUUCUCUAUUCUUCUUCUGUGGUUGAAGCCAUUGCUCUCUCUACUUUCUUCCUCCACAAAUCUUCUCUUUAUGCCCUCUCUUUGUUUAGUCUUUACUUAACCCACAACCAAUUUUGAAAAAUGGAACUAUUUGAAAGUGACUAAAGCUUUACAGAAUUUGACCCCUAAAUCAUUGCCUUCAGUUUUAUGAAACACAAAUAAUACAAUGACAUGAUAUAUAUUUCUCUCAAAUAAAACAAUCCAUAAGUAUACAGAAUGGCUUUUCAUGGAUUAUUACUUUCAAAAAGAAGCAAAUAUACUAUGAAUUAUGGAAGAUAAUGAGCUAUAUAUAUAUAUAUAUCGAGCUAGAAUAAGCCAAACAAAAGAAGAAACAAGAAAAGAAAGCACAAGAUCGAGUAAAAAGGUAAGAACAUUUGACGACUUGUUGAUGAACCUCUUCUCAUUUAGCAACAUCGGGUGACAUAUCGACAAAAUUUCGUCGAGAUACUUGAUUGGUCAAAUUAAAUAUAUCAAGAAGCGUGGUGUUGUUACAUUUAGGACAUUUAAGAUCAAACUUAGAUGACAUGAUGUACAUGAGGCAUUGAGUGCACCCUAAUAACACCAUGUCCACUCUUGAGGAAUCUUCUGUUGUUGAACUAGAUAUUGAUAAGGAUAGAUCUUGUGAUAUCGAUUCUGAUUUUGAAUGGCUGAAGCUUCGACCCAUAGUUUAGAGGUGUUGAAUGAAAUGAAGCAGAGAGGAAAGAUGAAAUGAAAUGAAGAAGGAAGAGGAAGGAAAUCAAAUGCUAUAUAUUUAUGAUGUGGUAAGAUAUUAUAUAUUAACAAAAGUGGGAAGAGAAAAGUCGGGGAG
rnacentral:lncRNA from 1 species